CUUGAGGGAGCCGAGCCACAGCGGACGGUCCUCGGGCCGGUCCUGACCGUAGGUGGCGAUCAGCGCCUGGGCCUC
rnacentral:antisense_RNA from 1 species